rnacentral:rRNA from 1 species
UACAGAGGUCCCGAGCGUUGUUCGGAUUUAUUGGGCGUAAGGGGUGCGUAGGCGGCUUUGUAAGUUAGAGGUGAAAGCCCGGGGCUCAACCCCGGAACUGCCUUUAAGACUGCAUCGCUUGAAUCCGGGAGAGGUGAGUGGAAUUCCGAGUGUAGAGGUGAAAUUCGUAGAUAUUCGGAGGAACACCGGUGGCGAAGGCGGCAUCCUGGACCGGCAUUGACGCUGAGGCGCGAAAGCCAGGGGAGCAAACGGG